rnacentral:rRNA from 1 species
CCUACGGGGGGCAGCAGUGGGGAAUAUUGGGCAAUGGGCGCAAGCCUGACCCAGCAACGCCGCGUGUGGGAAGACGGUCCUCUGGAUUGUAAACCACUGUCCCCAGGGACGAAGAUGACGGUACCUGGGGAGGAAGCUCCGGCUAACUACGUGCCAGCAGCCGCGGUAAUACGUAGGGAGCGAGCGUUGUCCGGAAUUACUGGGUGUAAAGGGAGCGUAGGCGGGGAUGCAAGUUGGGUGUCAAAACUACCGGCUCAACUGGUAGUCGCACUCAAAACUGCAGCUCUUGAGUGAAGUAGAGGCAG